ACCAACAACACUCACUAAAACAUUCAAGGUGGCGAUAGCAUGGAGACUUUAGCUGUUGAACGGUAUCUGUUUGAGCCUGAAUCAGAGGAAGGAUCUGAUGUAGAGGAGCAACCUGCCAGUAGAUUGGAAAUGACUCCUUCAGACUGGUCACGAAAAGAAUGACCCAGGUUCCUGAGGAGAUAACCUGUAUGACUCACCAUCCUGGCCUUCAUCCGGUGUGCCUUAAUAUAUAUUCUUUGCUAAAUGCAAUGAAUAUUUACAGAGUUGACCAUGGCCAGUUGAGAAUCAGAGGGAUGGAAAGGCAAUGCAGACACAUGGUUUAUAGGACUUUUGUGAGCUGGUGCUGGGGUUUUCUUUGUAGAA